UCCAGACACUUUAAGACUGCAGUGUUAUCAGCAUUGGGUACAGUCUUCUCAGAGCCACAAAUGAUGAUGAUACCACUGAUUCCCCUGCUGACCACUCUGGGGUUCCUGACUCAGGAAUCAUCUGGGGCUGGAGUUGUGACUCAGUCUCCUACUGCCAAGUCUGUUAGUCUGGGAGAGACUGUGUAUCUGAGCUGCACAGCCAGUAAGGGGGUGGAUGAUGACCUGAGCUGGUACCUGCAGAAACCUGGACAGUCCCCUCAACUCCUCUUCUAUAAAAUAAGUCAACGUCAGUCUAAAACUCCUGGUCAUUUCAGUAGCAGUGGAUCUCAACCAGAUUUUACUCUGACCAUCAGUAAAGUCCAGGCUGAAGAUGUAGGAGAUUACUACUGCAUGGGUGUGUACACUGAUGGGAGGACACAGUGAUUUAGAGUCAUACAU